rnacentral:rRNA from 1 species
UACGUAGGGUGCAAGCGUUGAUCGGAAUUACUGGGCGUAAAGCGUGCGCAGGCGGUUUUGUAAGUCUGAUGUGAAAUCCCCGGGCUCAACCUGGGACUUGCAUUGGAGACUGCAAGGCUAGAAUCUGGCAGAGGGGGGUAGAAUUCCACGUGUAGCAGUGAAAUGCGUAGAGAUGUGGAGGAACACCGAUGGCGAAGGCAG